ACCAUUACAAAUUUACCAGCCGCAGUGUUCGCUUGUUUGACAUUUGUAAUUCAAAUGUAGAACGUUGUCUUCUAUGCUACCAGUGUUUUAUAUCGUUAAUUUCCUAAAUACGUCACAUGCUGUGUAUUUCCUAAUGUUGCCAGUGAUUUCUGUGAGUGUAGUUCAAAAAUGGAACGAUAAAAAUUGUUCAACGAUGGAGGUGUUAAAAUCAUUAGUGUGUCAAAAUAGAACGUCAAAUUCUUCGAGGUUUGAAACGUUCGCAAAAUCGUCGUUUGGGCGAACGAUGGACCCAUAACAGAAGAAAGUAGAAGAAGAAUUAAUAGUAGAACGCAAGUACUUAAAUAAUAACUGAGAUCUUCGGCAGUGGAACACAGCGCAGUACAGCCUAAGGCCCCUACACACGUAUAAUUACGAACCUUCGGAGAACAGCAGCUUUUAUUAUCGUGCUACCGUGAUUAGAUGGUACUCAGAUAAGAAUUUAAAAAAAAUCUGUGUCUAUAGCUGUAAUUUGUGGGAUUCGGGUGGUGAGAGUCUUUGUUUUCGCUCUGGGCAUUGAUAACGUCUCCUAGCUGAUCAAAAUGGUCACGAUCUCAAAUUAAAACAUUUUCCUAACUAAGUCCAUUUGAAUUCAUAUUAACUAGAUGUAACCUGGCUUGGGAAUGUCUAUUUUCGCUAGCAGUUAUCAUUAACCAUUAAAAUUGAAUAAAAAAUA